UACGUAGGGGGCUAGCGUUGUCCGGAAUCAUUGGGCGUAAAGAGCGUGUAGGCGGCCCGGUAAGUCCGCUGUGAAAGUCGGGGGCUCAACCCUCGAAUGCCGGUGGAUACUGUCGGGCUAGAGUGCGGAAGAGGCGAGUGGAAUUCCUGGUGUAGCGGUGAAAUGCGCAGAUAUCAGGAGGAACACCGAUUGCGAAGGCAGCUCGCUGGGACGUCA
rnacentral:rRNA from 1 species